AUUGAACGCUGGCGGCAGGCCUAACACAUGCAAGUCGAGCGGAUGAAGGGAGCUUGCUCCUGGAUUCAGCGGCGGACGGGUGAGUAAUGCCUAGGAAUCUGCCUGGUAGUGGGGGAUAGCGUCCGGAAACGGGCGCUAAUACCGCAUACGUCCUGAGGGAGAAAGUGGGGGAUCUUCGGACCUCACGCUAUCAGAUGAGCCUAGGUCGGAUUAGCUAGUUGGUGGGGUAAAGGCCUACCAAGGCGACGAUCCGUAACUGGUCUGAGAGGAUGAUCAGUCACACUGGAACUGAGACACGGUCCAGACUCCUACGGGAGGCAGCAGUGGGGAAUAUUGGACAAUGGGCGAAAGCCUGAUCCAGCCAUGCCGCGUGUGCGAAGAAGGUCUUCGGAUUGUAAAGCACUUUAAGUUGGGAGGAAGGGCAGUAAGUUAAUACCUUGCUGUUUUGACGUUACCAACAGAAUAAGCACCGGCUAACUUCGUG
rnacentral:rRNA from 1 species